UGCGUAGGCGGGUCUUUAAGUCAGGGUGAAAUCCUGGAGCUCAACUCCAGAACUGCCUUUGAUACUGAAGAUCUUGAGUUCGGGAGAGGUGAGUGGAACUGCGAGUGUAGAGGUGAAAUUCGUAGAUAUUCGCAAGAACACCGGUGGCGAAGGCGGCUCACUGGCCCGAUACUGACGCUGAGGGCACGAAAGCGUGGGGAGCAAACAGGAUUAGAUACCCCUGGUAGUCCACGCCGUAAACGAUGAAUGCCAGCCGUUAGUGGGUUUACUCACUAGUGGCGCAGCUAACGCUUUAAGGCAUUCCGCCUGGGGAGUACGGUCGCAAGAUUAAA
rnacentral:rRNA from 1 species